UCCCCUUGUCUUGCCUCCUUUCCACCUCUGCAUGUGAUUGAAAAAGAGAGAAAACAAUGCGAGGGAAAAGGGCGAGAAAGACAGAAAGCGGAGCGAGACAAGAGAUCAGCAGGCGCAUUGGUUUUGUCCUUUAACUUGGACUUGGACUGUGUGUGUGUGUGUGUGUGUGUGUGUGUGAGAGAGAGAGAGAGAGAGAGAGAAUGAGAGUGUGUGUGUGCCCUUUUUUUUUCUCCCCCCUCUUUCUCACCAACCUGCCUCGGACCUGCAGGUUCAGAUACAAAGCAGCGAGCUACAAGAACAACGAACGAUGGGGGCAUCCUGGAUCCGAAGGGGAGGCCUCUCCGGAGGAUUCAGAACCUCUCGCUGAACGGGCGAUGAGCGCUG